rnacentral:rRNA from 1 species
GACGAACGCUGGCGGCGUGCUUAACACAUGCAAGUCGAACGGAAAGGCCUUUUCGGAGGUACUCGAGUGGCGAACGGGUGAGUAACACGUGGGUGAUCUGCCCUGCACUCUGGGAUAAGCCUGGGAAACUGGGUCUAAUACCGGAUAGGACCGCACUUUAGUGUGUGUGGUGGAAAGUUUUUUCGGUGUAGGAUGAGCCCGCGGCCUAUCAGCUUGUUGGUGGGGUAAUGGCCUACCAAGGCGGCGACGGGUAGCCGGACUGAGAGGUUGGUCGGCCACAUUGGGACUGAGAGACGGCCCAGACUCCUACGGGAGGCAGCAGUGGGGAAUAUUGCACAAUGGGCGCAAGCCUGAUGAAGCGACGCCGCGUGGGGGAUGACGGCCUUCGGGUUGUAAACUCCUUUCGCCAGGGACGAAGCGUUUUGUGACGGUACCUGGAGAAGAAGCACCGGCUAACUACGUG